CUAAACAUUUAUUACUUAGAAGAUCUCUGAGAACGAGGAAGUGUUUAUAAGUGUAAUGAAAAAGAAAGCGAUCUUCCUCACUACCACGACAGCCUGCGUAUUUACGCUGUUGGUGCUGCUCUAUUUUACAGGAAUUUACAAACCCAUGUCAAUUGUUCAAGAAAAGGGAGUAAUUAAUGGCAAUUCUCUUCGAACCACUGACAACUUUCCCAAACUCAGUAAAGAACACGACGCCAUAGAUAAACGGAUCUGGGAGUCAUUUGGUUGGGACAAGGUACCUCAGAAUUGGGUAUCUUCCGUAAUCAGGC